rnacentral:tRNA from 1 species
GGGCCUUUAGCUCAGUUGGUCAGAGCUGCGGACUCAUAAUCCGUAGGUCCCUGGUUCAAGUCCAGGAAGGCCCA